ACGGAGCGACGCCGCGUGGGUGAAGAAGGCCGUGAGGUUGUAAAGCCCUUUUCUUGUUGAAGAAUAAAACGGGGAGGGAAUGCCCCGGAGAUGACGUUAGGCAAGGAAUAAGCCCCGGCCAAUUACGUGCCAGCAGCCGCGGUAACACGUAUGGGGCGAGCGUUGUUCGGAAUUAUUGGGCGUAAAGGGCGCGUAGGCGGUAGUAUAAGCCUGGUGUGAAAGGCCACAGCUCAACUGUGGGAAUGCGCUGGGAACUGUAUUACUUGAGUUCUGGAGGGGAAGUUGGAAUUCCUGGUGUAGGGGUGAAAUCUGUAGAUAUCAGGAAGAACACCAGUGGCGAAGGCGAACUUCUGGCCAAGAACUGACGCUGAGGCGCGAAAGCGUGGGGAGCGAACAGGAUUAGAUACCCUGGUAGUCCACGCUGUAAACGAUGUGCACUAGGUGUCGGGUCACGAAGACUCGGUGCCGGAGCGAACGUGUUAAGUGCACCGCCUGGGGAGUAUGCUCGCAAGGGUGAAACUCAAAGGAAUUGACGGGGGCCCGCACAAGCGGUGGAGCAUGUGGUUUAAUACGUCACUAACCGUAGAACCUCACCCAGGCUUGACAUCUGCUGAAAGCGCCUGAAAGGGUGGCCCCGGUAUUUUUAUAUCGCAGCAAGACAGGCGUUGCAUGGCUGUCGUCAGCUCGUGUCGUGAGAUGUUGGGUUAAGUCCCGCAACGAGCGCAACCCUCAUGACGAUGUUGCCAGCGUAAAGUCGGGAACUCUUCGGAAACUGCCCGUGCAAGCGGGAGGAAGGUGGGGAUGACGUCAAGUCAGCAUGGCCCUUACGCCUGGGGCUACACACAUGCUACAAUGGAUGUAAACAAUGGGCAGCAAGACCGCGAGGUGGAGCAAAUCUCAAAAAUACAUCCUCAGUUCGGAUUGCAGUCUGCAACUCGACUGCAUGAAGUCGGAAUCGCUAGUAAUCGCGGAUCAGCAUGCCGCGGUGAUCCGUUCCCGGGUCUUGUACACACCGCCCGUACAGGGCGAUUCGCGCCGCUAUUCUC
rnacentral:rRNA from 1 species